rnacentral:rRNA from 1 species
AGAGUUUGAUCAUGGCUCAGAAUCAACGCUGGCGGCGUGCCUAACACAUGCAAGUCGAACGAGAAAGUGGAGCAAUCCAUGAGUAAAGUGGCGACCGGGUGAGUAACACGUGACUAACCUACCUCCGAGUGGGGAAUAACUCCGGGAAACCGGGGCUAAUACCGCAUAACAUCGCAAGAUCAAAGCAGCAAUGCGCUUGGAGAGGGGGUCGCGGCUGAUUAGCUAGUUGGCGGGGUAACGGCCCACCAAGGCGAAGAUCGGUAUCCGGCCUGAGAGGGCGCACGGACACACUGGAACUGAAACACGGUCCAGACUCCUACGGGAGGCAGCAGUGGGGAAUUUUGCGCAAUGGGGGAAACCCUGACGCAGCAACGCCGCGUGGAGGAUGAAGCCCUUUGGGGCGUAAACUCCUUUCGACUCGGACGAUAAUGACGGUACGAGUGGAAGAAGCACCGGCUAACUCUGUGCCAGCAGCCGCGGUAAUACAGAGGGUGCAAGCGUUGUUCGGAAUUAUUGGGCGUAAAGGGCGCGUAGGCGGUGCGGUAAGUCACCUGUGAAAUCUCCUGGCUUAACUGGGAGCCUGCAGGCGAAACUACCGUGCUGGAGUGUGGGAGAGGUGUGUGGAAUUCCCGGUGUAGCGGUGAAAUGCGUAGAUAUCGGGAGGAACACCUGUGGCGAAAGCGGCGCACUGGACCAUAACUGACGCUGAGGCGCGAAAGCUAGGGGAGCAAACAGGAUUAGAUACCCUGGUAGUCCUAGCCCUAAACGAUGAUUGCUUGGUGUAGCAGUACCCAAUCCUGCUGUGCCGCAGCUAACGCGAUAAGCAAUCCGCCUGGGGAGUACGGUCGCAAGGCUGAAACUCAAGGAAUUGACGGGGCCCGCACAGCGGUGGAGCAUGUGGUUCAAUUCGACGCACGCGAAGAACCUUACCUGGGCUCGAAGCGCAGUGGACCGGGGUGGAAACAUCCCUUCCCCUUAAAGGCUGC